UUCCUUCAACAUUCGACCCAAUGCAAUAAGAGCUCUUGAAUUCGAUCGUUGUUGUGUCAAUCCAUCUGCCCAGAUGGAGGAUGGUUCCCCACCCUGUUAGAAAUUUGAUAAUAAAUAAGUUCAAAGAGGAGCUAAGUAGUAAAGGAGGAGAAUAAAUUACCUGGAUGAGUCAAAGCCUUCCGAUCCCCUGCAGAUGAGACCACUCGGAUGAUGAAAGAUACAAUCGGGGGAUUAUCCCUUGUUAAGCUUGAUAUUUCUGGGUAUAAUUUAACAUAUAAAAGCUUGUUUUUUUCCACUGAUAUAUGCCUUCAAUCCAAA